GGUUGCGAUCAUACCAGCACUAAUGCACCGGAUCCCAUCAGAACUCUGCAGUUAAGCGUGCUUGGGCGAGAGUGGUACUAGGAUGGGUGACCCCCUGGGAAGUCCUCGUGUUGCAACCCC
rnacentral:rRNA from 1 species